rnacentral:rRNA from 1 species
UGCGGCGGCCAUGGCCCAGGUGAGACGCCCGGUCCCAUUCAGAACCCGGAAGCUAAGGCCUGGCACGGCGAUGGUACUGCACCCGACAGGGCGUGGGAGAGUAGCACGCCGCCGCAC